UCCGAGUAUGGGUCGGGCCGAAGCGCACAGCCUGACCCUGGCGGGGGUAGGCACCGGGCCCCGGGGCGGGUCCGGGUUCGGGUCCUGGUUCGGGUCC
rnacentral:tRNA from 1 species